CCUACGGGGGACAGCAGUGGGGAAUAUUGCACAAUGGGGGAAACCCUGAUGCAGCGACGCCGCGUGAGUGAAGAAGUCUUUCGGUAUGUAAAGCUCUAUCAGCAGGGAAGAAGACAGCCGUUACCUGACUACGACGCCCCGACUUACUACGUGCCAGCAGCCGAGGUAAUACGUAGGGGGCAAGCGUUGUCCGGAUUUACUGGGUGUACAGGGAGCGUAGACGGCUGUGCAAGUCUGAAGUGACUGCACAGGGCUCAACCCUGGGACUGCGUUGGAAACUGUGGAGCUAGAGGGCUGGAGAGGUAAGUGGAAUUCCUAGUGUAGCGGUGAAAUGCGUAGAUAUUAGGAGGAACACCAGUGGCGAAGGCGGCUUACUGGACAGUAACUGACGUUGAGGCUCGAAAGCGUGGGGAGCAAACAGGAUUAGAUACCCCGGUAGUC
rnacentral:rRNA from 1 species